GUUGGUAUCGAUUAGGGGUUAAAUCACUUCGUUGUGGUACCAACGUUCCGAAGAGCCGCUGGUUCGAUUCCAGCUACCGACA
rnacentral:tRNA from 1 species